rnacentral:lncRNA from 1 species
CCGAGAUGGCCCACGCUCUGACUGUGGAGUGUGUUUCUCUCUAAAUAAAUCCACUUCUUACCUGUCACUUUGUGACUCACUGAAUUCUUUCCGUGAUGAGACAUCAAGGACCUGAGCUUCAUUAAGUCCUGAAACAGGUGGUGAUCUCAGUUGGAAGACCGUGGGUUUUGGCCGGGUUCGAGUUCCAGCACAUGGGUUCAAGUCCCAGUCUGAAGUGAACGUUUCAUCCUGAUCUUCUUCACAUAGUCCCCCAUUAACAAGUUCAGCAUAUGUACAAUCCAGCUCAGCUCCAAGAUCACCUGGGGACUCUGUGCUGGCCCCUAGCCCAAAAUGAGACACUGAAGAGCUUCCUUGAACAAUUAUUAUCAUUAUUUUUUAAGAGACAGAAGGAGGUGCCUCCCUCCCACAGGGAGCCCACCUGUGUGCACAGCGCCUGCGCAGAGGACUCAGAAGUGGCUGGAAGCUCCCCACGGCCCAUCGCCAGCUUCCUAGGAGAGCCCGUGAACAAC